rnacentral:lncRNA from 1 species
UAGAAGUGUUAUGUAAAGAGAAUACUUAUAUUCUUUCAGCUUAUAUAUAUAAUUGCUAUUACUUGCUGGGCACUCAAAUGCUCAUCCUUGCUUAAACUAAAUGUUUUCAGUUACGUACGAUCGACCUGAAGGCUCAGGCAAGAACAAGGGAAAAGAAAAGCUAUUCGAAUGAGAUUUAGUAUGAGUUAAUGGUUAUAGUUAGUAAGACAAUGGAAUCUAUUGUCAGGUAUUGUAAGGAAUGUAUUUGAAGGUCACGUACCUGAGAAAGUAAACUUUGAUGUAUGUAAAUUAAGUUCGAAUUAUAUUAUUAUUUAGUAUUAUUCAGCUUAAAGAAAUGGUAUCGUGGAGAACUGAGUUCGGGUUUCAAGUAUCCGGAUUUGGGGUC